UACAGAGGGUGCGAGCGUUAAUCGGAAUUACUGGGCGUAAAGGGCUCGUAGGUGGCCAACUAAGUCAGACGUGAAAUCCCCAGGCUUAACCUGGGAACUGCGUCUGAUACUGGAUGGCUUGAAUUCGGGAGAGGGAUGCAGAAUUCCAGGUGUAGCGGUGAAAUGCGUAGAUAUCUGGAGGAAUACCGGUGGCGAAGGCGGCAUCCUGGACCGAGAUUGACACUGAUGAGCGAAAGCUAGGGGAGCAAACGGG
rnacentral:rRNA from 1 species